UUUCCGUAGGUGAACCUGCGGAAGGAUCAUUAUCGAAUUUCGAGGGGAAGGAAGAUGAGGAGUGGAGACUGUCGCUGGCUUUCCCGCCUGGGAAGCAUGUGCACGCCUUGCUUUUCGUUGACCUUUCUCUUACUCUCACACCUGUGCACCCAUUGUAGGUCCUCGAAAGAGGAUCUAUGUUUUUAUCACCACACGCAUCGUAUGUCCAUAGAAUGUAACAUGAUCGUCGAUCGACCUCGCGGUCGGGUGGCGGUCUAAAUAAAUGAAUACAACUUUCAGCAACGGAUCUCUUGGCUCUC
rnacentral:misc_RNA from 1 species